rfam:Microbacterium sp. STBG005 Ion018_assembly_rep_c4971, whole genome shotgun sequence.
UUUCAAGUCUUUAAGAGCAAACGGUGGAUCUUGGCAUCUGGAGCCGAAGAAGGACGUAGCAUCUGCGAUAAGCCUCGGGGAACUGAUAAGCGAGUUUGAUCCGAGGGUGUCCGAAUGGGGAAACCCCGCCAGGGCGCGUGCGUACCUGGUGACUCCCGCCUGAAUAUAUAGGGCGGGUAGAGGGAACGUGGGGAAGUGAAACAUCUCAGUACCCACAGGAAGAGAAAGCAACAGCGAUUCCGUGAGUAGUGGCGAGCGAAAUCGGAAGAGGCUAAACCUAGCGUGUGUGA